rnacentral:rRNA from 1 species
AUACGUAGGGUGCGAGCGUUGUCCGGAAUUACUGGGCGUAAAGAGCUCGUAGGUGGUUUGUCGCGUCGUCUGUGAAAUUCCGGGGCUUAACUCCGGGCGUGCAGGCGAUACGGGCAUAACUUGAGUACUGUAGGGGAGACUGGAAUUCCUGGUGUAGCGGUGAAAUGCGCAGAUAUCAGGAGGAACACCGGUGGCGAAGGCGGGUCUCUGGGCAGUAACUGACGCGGAGGAGCGAAAGCAUGGGUAGCGAACAGGAUUAGAUACCCUGGUAGUCCAUGCCGUAAACGGUGGGCGCUAGGUGUAGGGGUCUUCCACGACUUCUGUGCCGUAGCUAACGCAUUAAGCGCCCCGCCUGGGGAGUACGGCCGCAAGGCUAAAACUCAAAUGAAUUGACGGG